rnacentral:rRNA from 1 species
UACGGAGGAUCCAAGCGUUAUCCGGAUUUCUUGGGUUUAAAGGGUGCGUAGGUGGUCAAUUAAGUCAGUGCUGAAAUAUCCCGGCUUAACCGGGAGGGUGGCAUUGAUACUGAUUGACUUGAGUAGAGUUGAGGUAGGCGGAAUUGACGGUGUAGCGGUGAAAUGCUUAGAUAUCGUCAAGAACACCGAUAGCGAAGGCAGCUUACUAAGCUCAAACUGACACUGAUGCACGAAAGUGUGGGGAUCAAACAGG